UGGGGAAUUUUGGACAAUGGGCGAAAGCCUGAUCCAGCAAUGCCGCGUGUGUGAAGAAGGCCUUCGGGUUGUAAAGCACUUUUGUCCGGAAAGAAAUCCUUGGCUCUAAUACAGUCGGGGGAUGACGGUACCGGAAGAAUAAGCACCGGCUAACUACGUGCCAGCAGCCGCGGUAAUACGUAGGGUGCAAGCGUUAAUCGGAAUUACUGGGCGUAAAGCGUGCGCAGGCGGUUUGCUAAGACCGAUGUGAAAUCCCCGGGCUCAACCUGGGAACUGCAUUGGUGACUGGCAGGCUAGAGUAUGGCAGAGGGGGGUAGAAUUCCACGUGUAGCAGUGAAAUGCGUAGAGAUGUGGAGGAAUACCGAUGGCGAAGGCAGCCCCCCUGGGCCAAUACUGACGCUCAUGCACGAAAGCGUGGGGAGCAAACAGGAUUAGAUACCCUGGUAGUCCACGCCCUAAACGAUGUCAACUAGUUGUUGGGGAUUCAUUUCCUUAGUAACGUAGCUAACGCGUGAAGUUGACCGCCUGGGGAGUACGGUCGCAAGAUUAAAACUCAAAGGAAUUGACGGGGUCAAGCUGUUUCCU
rnacentral:rRNA from 1 species